CCCUAGAGGAGCCUGUUCCAUAAUCGAUAAACCCCGAUCCACCUCACCCUCCCUUGCUUAGCCUAUAUACCGCCAUCUUCAGCAAACCCUGACAAAGGUUACAAAGUGAGCACAAACGCCCUACCGCCGCAAAAACGUUAGGUCAAGGUGUAGCCCAUGAGAGGGUAAAAAUGGGCUACAUUUUCUACAUCAGAAAACUCCACGAAAACUCUCAUGAAAUCUGAGGGUCCAAGGAGGAUUUAGCAGUAAAUUAAGAAUAGAGUGCUUAAUUGAACCAGGCCAUAAAGCGCGUACACACCGCCCGUCACUCCCCUCAAAUAUAUUUAAGGAACACCUUAACUAAACGCCCUAAUACUUAUAUAGAGGGGAUAAGUCGUAACAUGGUAAGUGUACUGGAAGGUGCACUUGGAC
rnacentral:rRNA from 1 species